AACGAACGCUGGCGGCAUGCCUAACACAUGCAAGUCGAACGGGACCUUCGGGUCUAGUUGCGCACGGGGGCGUAACGCGUGGUAACCUGCCCUUAAGUUCGGAAUAACUCCCCGUGGGAUGUGCUAAGACCGCUUAAUGUCUUCGGACCUAAGAUCUAUCGCCUAUGGAUGGGCGCGCGUUGGUUUAGCUGGUUGGUAGGGUAAAAGCCUACCAAGGCGACGAUACAUAGCUGGUCAGGGAGGACGAUCAGACAGACUGGGAGUGAGACACGGCCCAGACUCGUGCGGGAGGAAGCGGUAGGGAAUAUUGAACGAUGGGCGCCUGACGGAUCAAGCCAGGGCGCGUGAGUGAGGCAGGCGUGAGGGUUGUAAAGCUCUCUUGCGCGGGAGGAUAAGGACCGUAACGGGAGAAUGAGCUCCGGCUAAAUCCGUG
rnacentral:rRNA from 1 species